rnacentral:lncRNA from 1 species
CAGGGAUGGCACCAGGAGCUGCAGCAGCAGCAGAUUUCUCUCCCUUUUAGCUCCUCACUCUGGAAAAAAAGCUAAAGGAGACCUGGAAUCCCAAAAUUAAGGAGGCAGCUGAGGCUGGAGAGCUCGUGGAGUGAGGAGCAAAACUCCUGGAAGCUUCUGGAAGCAAACCCUGCACACAGCCAGUUGAGUUUGCACUCAGUGUACCAUUUUUAUUUGAUAUAGAUAGAUAUUUUUUAUAUAUUACAUCAUUUAAAAACAGAUUAUAUGUAAAAACACACACUUUUGGUUUGGUUUUCUUGCUUGUUUUUUGCAGGUCAAAGCCACCCCAGCGUGUCCCACACAGUGCAAAGGGACAACUUGUGCAUUUCCCCCUCUUGUCCCCCUGGAAAAACAACUUUUGUGUCCUUGUCCCACCCUUCCAGAGCCACCACCAAGUGUCCCUUAGAGCCCUGGGGACAGCUGGAGCCUGGGGAGGGGACAGAGAGCAGGGACAGGCUCCUGCAUCCAGGAUUUAUCCAGGAAAAAUUCAUUCAGGAGGGAGAGGGUGGGAUCAAACACAGCCCUCAAAUCGGCUCAGUUGGAGUAAAAAGAGGCUCAAAAGGUGUAAAAAGAGGCUCAGGAGGAGAAAAAAAUAAAACUCCUUUGGGUUCUCAGCCUUUUCCCAUGCACCACCCUAAACUCUGGGAUGAAUUCUCCGGGAUGAAUUGUUCCUGGAUAAAUUCUCCUGGAUGGAUCCUCCUGGAUAAAUCCUCCUGGGGGAAUUCCUCCUGUGGCACAGUCCCAGUUCAGCCCUCCCAGUCCCAGUUCAGCAUUCCCAGUCCCAGUUCAGCAUUCCCAGUUCAGCACCCCCAGUCCCAGUUCAGAACCCCCAAUCCCAGUUCAGCAUUCCCAGCCCCAGUUCAGUCCCAGUUCAGCAUCCCCAGCCCCAGUUCAGCAUCCCCAGCCCCAGUUCAGCAUUCCCAGUCCCAGUUCAGCAUUCCCAACCCCAGUUCAGUCCCAGUUCAGCCCUCCCAGCCCCAGUUCAGCAUUCCCAGUCCCAGUUCAGUCCCAGUUCAGUAUUCCCAGUCUCAGUUCAGCAUUCCCAGCCCCAGUUCAGCAUUCCCAGCCCCAGUUCAGCAUUCCCAGUUCAUCAUUCCCAGUCCCAGUUCAAUCCCAGUUCAGCAUUCCCAGUCCCAGUUCAGCAUUCCCAGCCCCAGUUCAGCAUUCCCAGCCCCAGUUCAGUCCCAGUUCAUCAUUCCCAGUCCCAGUUCAAUCCCAGUUCAGCAUUCCCAGCCCCAGUUCAGCAUCCCCAGUCCCAGUUCAAGCUUUUUUUCCACCCAGGAAGGAGCAGAGCACAGAGGGAGGAGAGGCCCUGACACCCUGAGAGCUCCUCCCUCUGCGAAUCCCCUGAGAAAAACGGAUCAAAAAGGAAUUUUUCCUUUGUACAGCACCCAUUGAAGAGUUCUCCCCCCUGUCCUGGGCUUCCCUAAGGCUCAGUCCUUUCCCAUAAAUCUGAAAAUUCUCCUUUAUGGCCUCACAGCUGCAAGGGGGAGCUUUAGCCGGGAAAUGAGAAUUAAAUGAGCACCAAAAGCUCUCCCUGAUCCUCCGGAGUACCAGGAGUGUGUCUGAAGCAGCGAAUUAAAGCUGAUUUUUAUUUUUUCCAAGUCCUGCUGGACACAACCCAAGCAUAGAACCGACGAUGAUUUGUCGAUUGAGGAGAAAAAAAAAAAGGGGGAAAUAACGACGGUGGCUCGUACCCAUCGUGGCCACAAGGCUCCAUCUGGUGGCGUUUGCACCCAAAAAGGAGCUGGGGAGGAGGGGGAAGCGCGGAUCGUACUGGUUAAACUGGUUCACAGCAGAGAAAUGGCUUUAAACCCGAGGUAAAAUUCGAGAUUAAACUUCUCCCGAGCUGGGAGAGGAGGUGGCACCAUGGGAAGGGGAAUUUGGUGAGGAGAAAUGGAUCUGCAAGGGGACAAAGCAGCCGGGGGGGGCCACAAAAUCUGAAUUGUGGCCACAAAACCUGAGCACAGCCAAGCUCUGCUGCCCUGCACAACCGAGCAGCAGUGGGAAUAACACAGGAAAUAUUUUAAUGCUUUUCUCUUGAGAGCAUUCCCAAAAGGGAGCAGCCAGGAGCAAAAUGCCAAGCUCAGCUAUGGAAGCAAGCUGCAAAAGUUGGUUAUUCUGUUAAAAAAAAAAAGAGGCAGGGACAGGAGAAAUGGGAGAGUUAAAAAUCCAGGCUGGUCCUGCUCAGCCUGCAGAGGGAGAAGAGGGAGGGAUCCUUCAUCUGCAGCUUGGGCAGGACAGGGAACACCCAGCCUGAACUCCCUGCUCUGCAGAAAUCAGCUUUGGGAUGGGAGAGAGGAGCUGGCUCACCCCAAAAUCACUCAGGCAUGGUCAGGAACAGAACCAGCACCAAUCCCUGCCCAGAGGAGCCUGGUGCCUGCUCCAGGGGUAACUG